rnacentral:rRNA from 1 species
ACGAACGCUGGCGGCGUGCUUAACACAUGCAAGUCGAACGGAAAGGCCCCUUUGGGGGUACUCGAGUGGCGUACGGGUGAGUAACACGUGAGUAACCUGCCCUUGACUUCGGGAUAACUUCAGGAAACUGGGGCUAAUACCGGAUAGGAAUCCUUGCUGCAUGGUGGGGGUUGGAAAGCUUCGGCGGUUUUGGAUGGACUCGCGGCUUUCAGCUUGUUGGUGGGGUAGUGGCUUACCAAGGCUUUGACGGGUAGCCGGCCUGAGAGGGCGACCGGCCACAUUGGGACUGAGAUACGGCCCAGACUCCUACGGGAGGCAGCAGUGGGGAAUAUUGCACAAUGGGCGGAAGCCUGAUGCAGCAACGCCGCGUGCGGGAUGACGGCCUUCGGGUUGUAAACCGCUUUCAGCAGGGGCGAAGCUUGUGGUGACGGUACCUGCAGAAGAAGCACCGGCUAACUACGUG